rnacentral:rRNA from 1 species
UGGGGAAUAUUGCACAAUGGGCGAAAGCCUGAUGCAGCGACGCCGCGUGAGGGAUGGAGGCCUUCGGGUUGUAAACCUCUUUCGCUCAUGGUCAAGCCGCAACUGUGGGUUGUGGUGAGGGUAGUGGGUAAAGAAGCGCCGGCUAACUACGUGCCAGCAGCCGCGGUAAUACGUAGGGCGCGAGCGUUGUCCGGAAUUAUUGGGCGUAAAGGGCUUGUAGGCGGUUGGUCGCGUCUGCCGUGAAAUUCUCUGGCUUAACUGGGGGCGUGCGGUGGGUACGGGCUGACUUGAGUGCGGUAGGGGAGACUGGAACUCCUGGUGUAGCGGUGGAAUGCGCAGAUAUCAGGAAGAACACCGGUGGCGAAGGCGGGUCUCUGGGCCGUUACUGACGCUGAGGAGCGAAAGCGUGGGGAGCGAACAGGAUUAGAUACCCUGGUAGUCCACGCUGUAAACGUUGGGCACUAGGUGUGGGGGCCACCCGUGGUUUCUGCGCCGUAGCUAACGCUUUAAGUGCCCCGCCUGGGGAGUACGGCCGCAAGGCUA